UCAGCUUCCUAUUGGGGCUGCAAGAUUCUACAGGAAGCCUGUACUUAAGGGGACCCGAGCAGAGAAGGUAUCGCCGGACUUCGAGGGAAAGAUAUCCUCUGCUUCCCACUGGGAGCGACCAGCAUUUUUAUUUUUUAAAAAAAUUUUUUGCGGGGAUCCGCAUGGUUAAGAACCAGAGACUUGGAGAGCAAGUCCAGCCUCCAGGGCCCUUGAGAACAGCCAAUGCUAGGAAGCUCCUCAUAGCUGAGGAGCUGCGCAGACCUCGGGAGUCCCGCGUGGCUGGGGAGCCCGUGGAGACCGGAGAGCCGGGCAGAACUAGGGGGACACCGCACACCUAAGCAGCCAGAAGAACCUCAGCGCUUCCUAUCCAACCACCACACCCCAAGCUGCCACCCUAGGCUUCCUGUGGACGCGAAGCCAGAUGGUGUUGUAAUCCUCUGAGUUGAACUCCAGGAAAUGGACUCUUGCUUCUGGCUCCAGAGAUUUGGAGUAGCGAGUUUUGCAAUGGAAUUCAGAUUGGAUUAAGCACAGGAGAGAUUUAUUAGCUUAUCUAAUCAGACUGGAUCUAAGUGGCGUUAUAAUGUCACUGGGAAUAUGUUUCUACCUUUGGCUUGGCAUCUGUACUAGGUACUUUCUCUUGCUAUGAUUUAAAAAAAAACUGACCAACUUGGGGGGGGGGAAAGGGUUUAUUUCAGGAAAGGUACUUGAGGCAGCAGGAACAGAAGCAGAGCCGUGUGUGUAAAACCGUGUUUACUGGCUUACUCUCCACGGCUAUCUUAGCUUGCUUUCUUAGACAAACCAGGAGUCCUUAGGCAGGAGGAUCACUCCCACAGUAGACUGGGAUUUCCUCACCCAUCAUUGAUCAAGAAAAUGUCCCACAAGGCAUGCCUAACAGGUCAGUCUGAUGGAGCCUCAACUGAGGUUCUCUUCCCAGGUGAUUCUACUUUAAGUUGACAAAAACUAACCAACACAGGCUCCCUCUCAGAUGGUUUUUACCUUAGGACGGCCUGUCUCCCGGAAAGCAUGCUUUCAUUGGAACAGCCUUGGAAUUUCCCAGAGGCUAUGGUUUCUACCUCAGGGUUAGAGCGCUUGUCAACUAUGUGGAAACUCUGAGUGCCAACCCAGCACCACAAAAUUAAACAAAGCAAAGCAAAACAACUUUCCUUUCUGCACACGCACUGGACAGGCACAGUUUUGAUGUGCGGAACCAGGCUGGCUGGCUAGUCCUUGGACCUGUAGGUGCCGCACAAAUGUUCAACAAGCAACUGCAUCAUUGGUGCCAAGGACCUGCAUCCAUCCAGAUGAGUGAGGCUGCGUUUGACAAGAUCACAGGGAGCUGUUCCCAGGAGGAGCAAGUCAGAUGAUUCUAUUCUCUGAUCGGUUAAGGCUGAUGGAAUUGUCUCAAAGAACUUUUGAACAGAAGAAAUCGGGGAAUAUUUGUCAUAAAGUGAGAAACCAGCUCUCUUUGCUGCCAGAGUGCGGCCAUCACGGGUUACAUGUACUCUAGUGGGAAGGGCCUGUCCCAGUCAAUGCGUACCUGGCUAAAGUUCACCUCUGAAGAUGUGAAGGAACAGAUUUUCAAACUGGCCAAGAAAAGCCCUACUCCCUCCCAAACAGGCGCCGUCCCAAGGGACUCACGUGAUAUGGCACAGGUCCAUUUUGUGACUCAGAACAAAAUCUUGAGACUCCUUAAGUCCAAAGGCCUUCCUCUGAUCUUCCUGGGGAUCUCUACCACUUGAUGAAGAAAGACAUGGAACUAAUCUGGAGCCCUGGGAGCUCCCAGAGACUGAGCUACCAACCAAAGAGCAUACAUGAGCUGGUCCCGGACCAGGGCGCGUACAAAGCAGAGGGCAGCCUUGUCUGCCCUCAAUGGGAGAGGAAGCACCUAAUCCUGCAGAGACUUGAUGAUGCUCCAGGGUGAGGAGAGAGCAUCCUCUCAGAGGCGAAGG